AGUUGAUUGGGAAACUCAUCAAAUCUUUAUGAAAUACCGAGACAAGCGUAGCCGUGCAAUGGCGGGCCUCGACCUCUGAUGAGGUGACACUUCCGAGUGUCCGGAGGAUUACAAAGGACGGUGAGCACUCAAAUCCUGUCAUUCGGAGUUUCAUCGCAUCCUUUGGUGUGG
rnacentral:sRNA from 1 species